GUGCUGGCUUCAGCAGCACAGAUACUAAAACUGCAACAAUACAGAGAGGAUUACCAUGGCCCCUGUGCAAGGAUGACAUGCAAAUUCGUGGUGUUCCAUAUUUUU
rnacentral:snRNA from 1 species